CCGGCAUGAAAUAAGCCCCAUUUCACUAUAAUUUUAACCGGUUGUUUCCAGUCAGCGGUCUAUUUUAGGGUUAGGGUUUACAGGAUUACAAUCCAAUUGUUUUAGGGGUUUUAGAGAACUGGCUUAACAAUCAACCGAAUUUCUACAUAUAGUUGCAGGUCUGGCUUUAAUUUUAUCAUCGUAAUUGAAGAUGAUGGGCUCUCGUUUUGAUAGAGCUUAAAUGCAGAGACUGUUAGCAUUAUGCUAUUUGAAGGAAGCCUAAGGGGAAGAUUGGUGUGCACCAGGGUGCAAGUUUUGCCCCAUAUUUUGAUGGCAAGCUGUAUACUGUCAGUUGUGCAAGAGCCUAAAAAGCCUCGAGUCAGAAGAAUCUGUUGAAGUGUAUACCAGAAGACUGAGUAGUGUUCAACACUUGAGGAAUUUCUUGUUGCGGUCAGUCAAAGUUAUCAGAGGUGUUAAAGAAGUUGCAAAAAGAUUGUACCUAGCAAACAAAUGGUUUCGGCUAACUAUGAACCUCACAUACAAGUGGGACCAAAACCACUUGUGUGUGAGGUUCAUGGUCAGCCAGAACCAUUUGUGUGUGGAGUUUGUGAGCUAGAAACCAGUUCAAAAUUGUGUGUGGAAGCAACACACUAAAGCUAAAGCCCAGUAAUAUGAAAGACAGAAUUUGAGAAGUGUUUGUUAAUGGGUACCUAACAGGGCCCUAGGCUGGGCCAUCUUUUUCUUGAUUAUGGGGAAUAUCUGAAAAUAAUUAGUAGAAUUAAUUUAUGGGAGGAUGUUAGAAUAAAUUAAUUAUCUUCCAGUUGACCAAUCAUCAUCACCAGCCACAAGCCACAGACCAUAGGGACACCUCCAGCAGCUCAGCAUUAUCUUCAGCACUCCCUCUUUGAUCCUGCUGUUCUUCAUAAAUGUUGCAGUAACUUCCUGCUACAGUAGACACAUAAUUUAUUAUGUAUUUGGCUAUAAAUCGAAUAAAUGGGAAUACAAUCUCAGAGCUCAUUUUAUGAGUUUCUCCUCU